rnacentral:rRNA from 1 species
AACGAACGCUGGCGGCGUGCCUAAUACAUGCAAGUCGCGCGAGAAAGUCCCUUGGGAUGAGUAGAGCGGCGCACGGGUGAGUAAUACAUAGGAACGUACCUUUUGGUGGGGAAUAACCACGGGAAACUGUGGCUAACACCGCAUAAUGACGCGAGUCUAAAACCGGCCUCUAUUUAUAAGCUGGUGCCAAUAGAGCGGCCUAUGUCCCAUUAGCUAGUUGGUAGGGUAAUGGCCUACCAAGGCUACGAUGGGUAACUGGUCUGAGAGGAUGAUCAGU